UACGGAGGGUGCAAGCGUUAUCCGGAUUCAUUGGGUUUAAAGGGUCUGUAGGCGGUUGAAUAAGUCAGUGGUGAAAUCCUGUCGCUUAACGAUAGAACUGCCAUUGAUACUGUUUAACUUGAGUAUGGAUGAGGUAGGCGGAAUGAGUAGUGUAGCGGUGAAAUGCAUAGAUAUUACUCAGAACACCAAUUGCGAAGGCAGCUUACCAAACCAUAACUGACGCUGAGGGACGAAAGCGUGGGGAGCGAACAGG
rnacentral:rRNA from 1 species